ensembl:misc_RNA Metazoa_SRP Metazoan signal recognition particle RNA
GCCAGGCAUGGUGGUGGGUGCCUGUAAUCCCAGCUACUUGGGAGGCUGAGGCAGGAGAAUCACUGGAACCCAGGAGAUGGGGUUGCAGUGAACUGAGAUUACGCCACUGCACUCCAGCCUGGGUGACAGAGCGAGACUCUGUCUCAA